UACGUAGGUGGCAAGCGUUGUCCGGAAUCAUUGGGCGUAAAGCGCGUGUAGGCGGUUCAGUAAGUCUGCUGUGAAAGUCCAGGGCUCAACCCUGGGAUGCCGGUGGAUACUGCUGGGCUAGAGUACGGAAGAGGCGAGUGGAAUUCCCGGUGUAGCGGUGAAAUGCGCAGAUAUCGGGAGGAACACCAAUUGCGAAGGCAGCUCGCUGGGACGUCACUGACGCUGAGACGCGAAAGCGUGGGGAGCAAACAGG
rnacentral:rRNA from 1 species